rnacentral:rRNA from 1 species
CCUACGGGUGGCAGCAGUCGAGAAUCAUUCACAAUGGGGGAAACCCUGAUGGUGCGACGCCGCGUGGGGGAAUGAAGGUCUUCGGAUUGUAAACCCCUGUCAUGUGGGAGCAAAUUAAAAAGAUAGUACCACAAGAGGAAGAGACGGCUAACUCUGUGCCAGCAGCCGCGGUAAUACAGAGGUCUCAAGCGUUGUUAGGAAUCACUGGGCGUAAAGCGUGCGUAGGCUGUUGCGUAAGUCGUGUGUGAAAGGCGCGGGCUCAACCCGCGGACGGCACAUGAUACUGCGAGACUAGAGUAAUGGAGGGGGAACCGGAAUUCUCGGUGUAGCAGUGAAAUGCGUAGAUAUCGAGAGGAACACUCGUGGCGAAGGCGGGUUACUGGACAUUAACUGACGCUGAGGCACGAAGGCCAGGGGAGCGAAAGGGAUUAGAUACCCCAGUAGUC